CGGGGUGAGUAACACGUGGGUAACCUGCCCGGAAGUGGGGGAAUACCUCGGGGAAACUCGAGCUAAUACCGCAUGACAUCUUCGGGACGAAAGUCCUGACGAUCAAAGCGGGGUCGCAAGAUCUCGCGCUACCGGAUGGGCCCGCGCCCGAUUAGCUAGUUGGUGAGGUAACGGCUCACCAAGGCUUCGAUCGGUAACCGGCCUGAGAGGGCGAUCGGUCACACCGGAACUGAGACACGGUCCGG
rnacentral:rRNA from 1 species